UACGUAGGGUGCGAGCGUUAAUCGGAAUUACUGGGCGUAAAGCGUGCGCAGGCGGUUUUGUAAGCCAGAUGUGAAAUCCCCGGGCUUAACCUGGGAAUGGCAUUUGGGACUGCAAGGCUUGAGUGCGGCAGAGGAGACUGGAAUUCCUGGUGUAGCAGUGAAAUGCGUAGAUAUCAGGAGGAAUACCGAUGCGAAGGCAGGUCUCUGGGCUGACA
rnacentral:rRNA from 1 species